AUGCAUACCAUGCAGAAGGAAGCUCUGGAACAGACGCAGGUGAUGGGACAUCAGACACCUCUAGUCUGGUGGGAGCAAAAUGUGGAGAGGAUAGCGAGACUGAGGUUUCAUAUGGUCACCCAUCUCCAUACAGCCUUCAGCAGAGAAGACUGUAAAAAUCUGCUCCUGCAAAGCUCAAGUGGAUUUCACAGCCAAAGCGAGGUCAUUCAGAAACUGCUGCCAGGUCAAGUUUUCACUUUGAACAUUUUCACAGUUAAAGGAGGAUCCAGGACAUGUAAGAAAACACAGCCCUACACUUUCCACUUGAAACCGCUUUUAGCUUGAACUAUAAGGUGCAAAGAAGAGAGCUGAACUGGUUGUUGGGGGGGAGGGAGAGGCUGGAGUGGCAGGGCUUCAGUGAUUUGUUUAUCUAGAAAAUCUCUGCAUCUGCUCUUUUCAGUGAAGUUCCCAUCGCUUUUUUUUUUUUUUUUUUACUCCAUUUUCCAGCUGUGCAGCACAAAGCACAGGCAGGUCAGCAGCCUUGCUGAAGAUCACAGAGUGAGUCAGUGGCUCUGGAGAGAUCAGAGCAAGGAGCCCACUGUGUGCCAGCUCUUUGUGCUUCCCUCUGGUCUGGAAAUUCCUUUCAACCCCAGGUGCUAAAACAAGGUGAAGCAGGACAAAUUGCAGACUGUGGCUUUGGUGGAGGCUUCUGAAGGACUCGGUGAAAAUGCCACCACAAUGCUGUGACACCAGGCAGUGCUCAGUCAUAUUUGCGCUCAGGGGCAGGGGGACUUCUACAUCUGCAGUUCCAUGAUUUGCAAUACAUCCCACUGGUCUGUCACAACAAAAUCUGAUAGCACUGCAGGUUUCUCAAAGACAUAAUAUUUCUACAAUGCGUCAUGAAAACUGGCAGCCAGGAGGAGGAGAACACCUGGAAUGAAGAACCCACUGUAGGAUGAACCACCCAAGAAAGGGGUGCUGCAAACCAGACGCUGUGGCUGCACUUGCUCAAGCAAAUUAAACAGAGCUGGGGCUCAAAUACCAGCACAGAAUCGUAGAAUGGCUUGGCUUGGACAGGGUCUUACAGAUUACUGAGCUCCAACUGCCUGCCAUGGGCAGCAUAACCACUCCCCAGAUGAGGCUGCCCAGAGCCCCUUGAGAACAUCUAUAGAUGGGGCAUUCACAGCUUCUCUGGGCAGCCUGUGCAAGUGCCUCACCACCGCAGCGUGCGCUUGUCCACAUUAUUGCUGGCCCUCAUCACUACUGUCAUAGCAUCUUCUUGUCCUUAGGAUGCAUAUCACACAGGUAAGGAACAUGCCCACACAUAAGACAGGUGACAUUUUUC
rnacentral:lncRNA from 1 species